AAGAUAAAGUGUGAUUGUGGAAU
rnacentral:siRNA from 1 species